UCUUUCCUACAAAGGUAAUAUUAACCUAUCCCAUUUGGCGGCCUUCAAUCUUAUUAAAGGAACUUGUUGUUUGACCGAUGAUACGCGAUACUUUUAUCUUAAACCUAAUUUUUAUACCGCCGUCCAAAGGGUAAAAUAAAAUAUUUUAUUCGCGCCAUACCCAACCAAGUAGAAAUGUCAGGUCAAGGUGAAGUCAAUGUUUAAGUUUCAAUGAGUUAUUAAUAAAAAUAAUUUAUGGACUUUUGUUAAAAAACAAAAAUCGAAUUAAGAUUUAAAAGUAUUUUCAGUUCAAUAUACUAAAAAGAAUAAGCAAAAAAGGUGUACAUAUCGCCCGUCGCCCUCGUCCAAAGAUGAGGUAAGUCGUAACACAGUUAAUAUACUGGAAAGUGUAUUAAGCGUAACAGUUUCAAGCUUUUAGUAUUUCACUUACACUGAAAAGAUUUCAUUUACUUCUGUAUAAAUUUUUAUUCACAAAAUCUUUGCAUCUACAUUCAUCUAGUUCAUCAUAUUAAAAACUGAAAAGGACCAUUAAAAUACAAACUAAGUAAAUUUUUGUACCUUUUGUAUCAGGGAUUUCCAAACCCUCAUGAACAUUUCAUACUCCCGAAACAAGACGAACUUUGUAAUUUUAGUAAAUGUUGUGGCAUAAACAAUAUAAAUUUUACAAAGUUGAGAUAUUCUUUUCAAGUCUUCCCUUAUCUGGUUACUUACCACCCAACCCACAUCAUAAUACUAAGAAUAAGCUUAGUAUCAAGUUUAGCAUCUCUCCUCCAUUUAGUCUAGAUUUAAUAGUAUUCACACUGUCCUCAAACUACACAACCCAGUAUAUUUAAACAUAAACCCCCCAAGUGCUCACCCCAUUAACCUUACAAUGAAAAUAUUAGUAAAAUUUUCCCUUCCAUUUGAUUCUAAAAACCCUAUGGAUUAUACAAUUUACAUUGAAAUUAUGAACUAGGCCCCAAUCAAUUGACUGUUUAUCAAAAACAUAGCUAAUAGAUCCUCGCUACUAGUAGUGCCUGCUCAGUGAAAAAUAAAUAGCCGCAAA
rnacentral:rRNA from 1 species